GAUGAACGCUGGCGGCGUGCCUAAUACAUGCAAGUCGAGCGAACGGACGAGAAGCUUGCUUCUCUGAUGUUAGCGGCGGACGGGUGAGUAACACGUGGAUAACCUACCUAUAAGACUGGGAUAACUUCGGGAAACCGGAGCUAAUACCGGAUAAUAUUUUGAACCGCAUGGUUCAAAAGUGAAAGACGGUCUUGCUGUCACUUAUAGAUGGAUCCGCGCUGCAUUAGCUAGUUGGUAAGGUAACGGCUUGCCAAGGCAACGAUGCAUAGCCGACCUGAGAGGGUGAUCGGCCAGCCUGGAACUGAGACACGGUACAGACACCUACGGGAGGCAGCAGUAGGGAAUCUUCCGCGAUGGGCGAAAGCCUGACGGAGCAACGCCGCGUGAGUGAUGAAGGUCCUCGGAUCGUAAAACUCUGUUAUUAGGGAAGAACAUAUGUGUAAGUAACUGUGCACAUCUUGACGGUACCUAAUCAGAAAGCCACGGCUAACUACGUG
rnacentral:rRNA from 1 species